rnacentral:rRNA from 1 species
UACGUAGGGGGCAAGCGUUGUCCGGAUUUAUUGGGCGUAAAGAGCGUGUAGGCGGCCAGGUAGGUCGGUUGUGAAAACUCGAGGCUCAACCUCGAGAUGUCGACCGAAACCAUCUGGCUAGAGUCCGGAAGAGGAGAAUGGAAUUCCCGGUGUAGCGGUGAAAUGCGCAGAUAUCGGGAAGAACACCCGUGGCGAAGGCGGUUCUCUGGGACGGUACUGACGCGAAG